GCCAACGAUCAUACCACUUUGAAAGCACCGCUUUUCGUCCGAUCAGCGAAGUUAAGCAACGUAGGGUCUGGUCAGUACUUGGAUGGGUGACCGCCUGGGAACACCAGAUGCUGUUAGCA
rnacentral:rRNA from 1 species